UUAUGUGCUUUUUAUUUUUAUUUCUGCCUUCAGUAUUUAUUCCAUGAAGGAUAAUGUUGUGAAAGGCAUGUCCUGGAGAUGUAUUUAGUAUUGAUAAGGGAGAAUAAGAAAGAGCCAGAGUAAUAUGAUAGGAAUGCUCUCAUUUACAUUUACUGAAGUUACAGGUUACCCAUACAAGUGCUGUACCUUGAAAGCAACUGCUGUGUUAAAAAAGCAAGGUAUUCUUUUGAUAUAAAGUAAGAAACAUUAAGACCAACUAUUUGUGGUUCUUUCAAUUGUAUGAUAAUCAAUACAAACUAAAUAGGUAUUACUACAUGUUAAAAUACUGUAAAAAUUUUGCAGUGGAGCAAAGAAAUCCAUAGUAAAUAUAAGAUUUGGAAUUCAGCUUCCAUUUUAAUUCUGUAGGCAUGUAAUUAAAAAGAUAAAUAUUUUAGUUAAUAGCUGGACAUUCUAAAAUGUGCUCUUCUGGAACAUAAUUAUUUCCCCCAAGCCCAUUCUGGAAGAUUGGUAAGAUGCAGCAGAGGUCAGAGAAGACUGAGAACUCACUUGAAAUAGAAAGAUCAAAGUGAGACUAUAUGACUUAUUGAGGUUUGCAUCAGAAGUAGAGCUGAAUUUGAAGGCUGCAUUUUACUUGAGAAUAUCUUUUAUUUGUAUAUAACUAAACAUUAGCAGCCUCGUUGUUUGAGAAAAAUAAAUGCUCUGCUACUUGAUAUCCAUUCAUGCACCAUUACACUUUUAAAAUCCAAGCAUCUUGGUCAGAAAACAGAGCAGGGAUGGAAGGCUACAGUCUAUUUACUUUGCAGUUGCAGUAUUUUAAACCUAGCAGUCAUGGGAGCUUAUUACUUUGAGGAGUGCUUUUUUUCUCUUGUGACUUUUACCUCCCUCUGUUAUCCUAUUGAGUUCUGAUUCUCAGUGUCAUAAACGCAAAGUGCUAAUACAAGAAAAGAAGAAAUGUUAGGACAUGCUGUUUGUGUCAAACUCAAGGCCCAGUCUGUGCGAUAGUCUGUCUCUAUCAAGUUUUAUUGUUUAAGAAAUCCGGAAUAGCCGAGGAUUAGAUAAUCUUUCCACCGCUAUAAUGUGAUGAUUUCAAAUAACAAGAACUCACAUGAGUUUUAAUAUCCAUCCUGAAACCAGCAAAGUAUUUUCUAACUGAGUAUUCAUGGUAGAGAUAUGAUAGUUACACAGUCUCAUCCUCUUCUUGAAUGUGGGCAAAUCCUAGAGGUUUUUGAGGCUGUGUGCAAUUCUCUUUGUAUUAGCUUUGAGUACAGUACUCUGAUUAAUACACAUUAUUGACUGUACACUUGUUCUUGUAUUAAAGUUCUGCUUCAAAAGAAGAACCACACUGCAGUAUGAUAAUAUAGCUUCCAGUGCUCACUGACCCCUUUUUUUUUUUUUUUAUUUGAACACAUGCGUAUAGCCACAUGUCUGCGGUGUUUCAGUACCCCUUCAGACAUUUUCUGGUGACCCAGAAUUCCUACAGAGAGCGUAAAGUAGUUUCAGAUCCCAGAGUUCACACAUCAGUCAAAGAUGCUGACUGUGCAGCCGGGUAAACUCUUGGUUAUGGGGCAAGGAGAACAGGAGAUCUGAUCUUAAUUUCUAAAUCCUUUUAUGAUUGUAGAAGAAAUAAAAAUUAGUCUUUUUUUUUUUUUUUUAAACUCAUAUAUCUUUCAUCUCUCAUGUAAACAAAUUUCAGUCUUUCCAGAUUCUUAUCUCAUCAGAGACUUUCUGUGCUCUUGAUCUCUGUCAGGCUUGAAGUUUGCUAUUUCCGUCUGAGGCACAAAAAAGGAAACUGCUUUGCCUGAAAGCAUGUCUGAGUAGUUUCCAUGGAACCAGCCACUUUGAGAAUGUUACCUGUUUUCCAGCUUUGCCUCAUGUGGUAGUUCUUACCCCUUAACCUUUGUUUCUGUAUCCUUCUUUCUGAGUGUUAGCGCUGAGUAUGGUCUUUCUUUAAUACAACUGCCGGCUUUGACUGUUUUUGUACAAAAAUUGGCAGUUGCAGGUAAGCACGAACAGUGCCACUUCAAUAAUUCUCAAUGUCUCCCUGAGGAUAAGUUGGUAUCUUGCCAUAGCUCUCCACUGAACCUUUGGCUGCUGAAAAAUACCUCUGUUUCUGUGGUUUAGUGUGGUUACAUCAGUUGUUGUCUGCAGCUUAAAUAGCUUGCUUUCCUCUAAUUAUUCUUAACUGAUCUUUUCAGUAAUGUGGUUUACAACCCUUUCCUUCCCUGUAUUUCAUCUAAACAUCUGGUAGGAUUACAGGAGAGGCAGAAGUAGGGACUGUUGGCAGGCAUUUCUUAGAUUGGCUUUGCUGCAAGAACAAAUGAAUUCUUUUAGGCUGCCAGCACAACAUCUGUGAGCCAAAUGGUCAUUUGAAGAGUGAGAAGGGAAACAGUUUAAUCAGUUAGGACCAGGUAUCUUUCUUUCAUUAUUCACGUAGUGAAGAAAAGACGUGUCUAAUGGUACAUGUCAAUUUUGAUGCAUUAGUGUACCAUGGAUAGAUUUUCAUCAUUAUUUCACACUUACUUAUUUUGAGCAAGUGGUAAGUGUAUUCUCCAAGUUCUCUAUUUUCUGUAUUUCCUAAGCUAUGAAUCAUUCAUAUUUUUUCCUGCAGGUAUAUCUCUUGUGACUGGGUGACUGUCACCUUGGCAGUGGUUUGGAAUUAAUUCAUCAGCUGUGAGUGGCAAGUCAGGCAGGCAUUUUUUUUUCUACUUAUCAGCAAUUAAUUCUUCACUAAAGGUCACUGAGCUGAAAUCAAAACUACUAGUUUCUUUCCCUAUGUUGCCUGCAGUUUCAUACAGCAUCUGUGAAGACCACUGUGAAGUGCUCAGUUUUAUGUAGGUCUUCUUCUGCCCUGACCACAGCUAAGUUUAAAAUUGAGUCUUAUUUCACAUUUUUCUACACUGAGUAUGUCAGAAGUCAUCUACUGCAUAGAUCACAGUCUGUUUUUUCACUUUUUGUACAAUGCCCACAAAAAUAAUCCCUGUUAAUAAUGAGGUAUUAUUACGGUCAGAAUAAAUAAUUUUGUGUUGUGGAUAUUGCAAUUGGGCAUGGUAAUUUGAUAAGAAAAAAAAACUGAGACUGGUUAAAAAAUGGUUUUCUCAUUAAAGAUUGUACCAGAUUAUUUUUUUCCAACAUGAAUCCAUAUACCUACACUGUAUAACUACUGUAUUAUUUAUACUGCAUUUCUCAAUUUAUUUCUUGUGCCUAGAAUGAGGAAAAGUGGACAAAAACAUAUUGUUUCUGUUUCAGAAACAUCUUCUUGCUAUAAUAAUAUAAUGCAAAUGUUUGCCAUUGCAAAAGUACUCGAAGUCCUGGGACUUAUUGAUGAUCAGUCAUUCAGAGGUGACUUCUGAGGCUUUCUGAGACCUUCUAUUUCUGUAUGUUUCUAGGCCUUCUGAUUCAUAGGAAUUCUGGAUGCUUGUUAGGAUUAGAACAGUUACAGUAUAUGCCACUAAUUUUAUUUUUUUCAAUCACAAAAUGACAGAAGGUUUGAGGCUGGCAUAGGUCCAUCUGUCCUAACCUCUGCUACAGCAGGAGCACCCAGAGCAGAUUACCCAGGUCCAUGUCCAAGAGGCUUCUGCAGAUUUACAAAGAGGAGACUCUGUGGCCUUUCUGGGCAGCCUGUGCCAGUGUUCCAUCACCCAAACAUCACAGGAGUGCUGCUUGACUGUCAGAGUGAACUUCCUGUGCUCCAGAUUGUGCCCAUUGUGUCUUGUUCUGGCAUAAGGCACCACUGAAAUGAGCCUGGGAUCCAUCCUCUUUGCACUCUCUCUUCAGGUACUUAUGGAUAUGGAUGAGAUCCCCCUGAGCCUCCUUUUCUCCAGGCUGAGCAGUCACAGCUCUUUCAGCCUCUCCUCAGAGGAGAAGUGCUGCAGGUACUUCAACAAUUUUUUAACCCUAUGCUGGACUCACUCCAGGAUGUCCAGAUCUCUCUUUUUACUGGGGGAGCCAAAAACACAGGACUCCAGGUGUGGUCUCACCUAUGCUAGUAGACCUGCUGACAGCACUUUGCCUGAUACAGUCCAGUAUACCAUUGCUGUCAGCAGCAAAGGCACAUUGCUGGCUAUGCUCAAGUUGGUGGCCAUCAGGAUCCCAGAUCCUUCCCUGCAGAGCUCCUUCUAGCUGAGUGCCACUAUCAUGUCCUGGUUCCUGGGGUUGUUCCCCACCAGGUGCAGGACUUUGCACUUUUGCUUGUUGAACUUGAUGAGGUUCCUGCCAGCCGAUAUCUCCAGCUUGUCCAGAUACAGAACAUAAUUCUGAAUUGGAAUGGACCUAUAAGGAUCAUUGUGUUCAUGUUCUGGCUCUUUACAGGAUGACCUGAAAUCCAAACCCAAAGUCUAAGAGCACUGUCCAAAUGCUUCUGAAACUCUGUCAGCUUGGUGCAGUUACCCUUGGGAGCCUGUUCCAGUGCCUGACUGCCUUCUCAGCAAGGAACCUCUUCCUAACACCUGUUUAACACUCUCAUUUAAUGCAGCUUCAUGUUUAUUGCAUUCAACUCCAGGAUCCCCAGCAUAACUAAGAUCUGGAGCUAUUGGAGCAAGUUCAGAGAAGGCCAUAAGAAAGCUUGGAGUUUUUCAGUGGACAAAUGGUGAGGGAGAUGUCUUGUUUAGCUUGCAGAAGAGAAGGCUGAGAGGGUGUGAAGCAGUGGCACAGGCUGCCUAAAGAAGCUGUGCACGGCCCAUCUUUGAAGCUGUUCAAGGACAGAUUGGAUCAGGCUCUGUACAAACUGGACUAGUGGGAAAUGUCCCUGUCAAUGGCAGGAUGUUGGAACUGGGUGGUCUUUAAAUUUCCUUCAAGCUGAAACCAUACUGCAGUUCCAUUGGGUCCUAUUUCUGAGAGAUCAUCAUUGCUGUUAUGAGAAAGCUGUAGACUAGAUACCCUUUCAGUGCAGCACGACCUCCUGGUCCAUCUGCCACUCCUACCUCUUUUGUGUCAACAGCAGACUGCUGAGGAUGUACUCUGCAAUCAUCCAGAUCAUUAAUGAAGAUGUUAGACAGGACUUGGACCCAGUGUUGGCCCCUGGGCCUCCAGCUAGGCUUCGUACUGCACAUCACCACUCUGCAGCUAUUCAGCCAAUUAUUAGUCCACCUCUCUGCCUGUCCUUCCAGUCCCCUACAUCAACAACUAGAUGGACAGGAAUGGCAUUCCCUCGAUGGAAAGGAGAUACCUUCAAAAUAGGGAACAAUAUUCUUUCUGGUUUUCAUUAUUUAUUAUUGGGGUUGUUGGUUUUUGUUUCUUGUUUUUGAAAUGUAGGGUUAUAAAAUCCAGGUUUUUUGAGUACUUACAGUUUGAUUAGUCCUAGGAAUUGUCAUGAAAACAGCUAUGAAACUGUUUUAAAGUGUUGUUUAACAGUGCAAGAAAUUGCUUCAUGUGGGGUAAAGAGGAUAUACUAUAUGUUUAAGUACAGGAAAAUACCAAAAACUCUGUGGAUUGCCUUUGUAAUGGAUUCAAAAAAUAUUUUCAUAUUUCUCUACAGCAAUUGAAAGGUACAGUAAAAGGUACAUGGAUGAUGAAAAGGAGCAUUCAGCAUGGACCCCAGGUAAUAAUGGAGAAUACCAAAGGCUGUUUUGCUAUUAGCCUGGGUAAUCUGUUCUUCUGAAAUGUUUGAUUCCAAAUUUUUGAAGUAUUAAAAUAGUACAUGCAUUCUUAACAAGGCAUGUAUUCCUUGUUGAGGGUUAUGCCCUUUUCCUGCUUUCAGAUCAAAGGGAAGAAUUGUUUUGUCUAGAAAAGAAUAAAUAAAUGUGAUUUUAUUUUUUCUCAUUCAAAACAACAAUUCUCAUAAAAAAUGCAAGCUUGAUCUCUAUAGCUUUCCUUCUGUUGUUUCCCAUGCACAUACCAGUUUUGAACUGGGAGAAAAUAUAAAAGUUACUAAAAAACACCACCAACAUAGUUUCCCAGUCAUCGGUAAAUUGAUUUUAUGACAUUAAACUUUCACAAAUAUAUCUGAAUAGGUAAAUACUGCAUACUUGAUGAUUCUAUGUAAUUUAGAGGGACACUGGAAGGGCUGAACUUUGAUGAAGGUAGAUGCCAGUUUUCAUUAACGGUGUAAAAUUCUGGUCCUCAUUAUACUUCAUCACCUAAAGGACAGCUGAAAUUCGGCAUAAUUGUUGGGAUUCAGCAAAAUCGUUGGGUGCUUAAGCAAUUAGACUUAUAAACCCUAUAUGACCCUAUGUGACAAUUAGUCUUAAGUCUAAUCAUGGAACCAAGCACAACAGGGGCAGUCUUGCUGAGUGAGAGGAGGAGGAUUACUGCUGUAAAUAACUGUUUAUAAGUAUUAAAGCUACUUUCUGUACAGAUUGGAGAAGUCUUCCAAGAGAGAUGAAGCCAAGGAAAAAGAUGAAAAAAGCUUUCUUCUGCAGAAUUGUGAACCAGAUCCUUCAACAGCAGUUGGUAUUGAUUGCUCUUUAAGCAAAAGAAAUCUUUUUACUGCACAGCAUCAGAAGUGUAUUCAUUUUUUAAAGUGUUUUCCAGUAUGCAUGACUAUUAUCUUUAGUUCUCUAUAGAAGUCUGUCUCUUUGUUGAUGUGAAACAACACUUGGCCUCCUGUAUCUAGCUGUCUGUUACAUACAGUUGUUUACUUUCUUGCUCUCUUUGUCCAAGUCCUUCAUAUGUCAUUUUUCAGUUCAAGGAUAAAAUAGAAAAAGGAAGGGGAAUGUGCAGUAGUCAUGGAGACUGGCUCAGCUGGAAGCUUAUUUUCUUUUAAGAGCGUCAUUGAGAAGCAUGGUAAUAAAGGUAGACAUCAAGAUUCAAUAGAAAUUAACUACUUAUUUGCAAAAUCCCUCAAGAAGAAACGAGUACAUAUCCAUUUUCUUUUUUAAAAAAGAAGAAACUGUGCUGGCUUUUCUAAGCCUACAGCUUAGAAGCUGUAGCUUCCCAAGAUUCCAUGAAAUCACAAAUGCCAAUCCAGUACCCCCUUAAUAUACUAACAUACUAAUUAUCACAAAGAAUCACCGAUCAAUGUAUUCUUUGUUUCCACUGUCUUUAGUGCAUGUUUCUCAAUUUGCUCUUGAAAGUACUUUCCUUACUUAAUUGUAUCAGAUAAGAUAAGCUGACCACCCGCAUUUGAUUGGGUAGAAAACCUUUCUCUAAAAGCAAAAAUAAUGAGGUUUCAGGGCUUUUAUUUUAGGGGAAUCUUGGUGGUAUGGAAAUCAUACCAAAGUCAUGUUACUUUUUGUUUUGAUUACAGCCAUGUUAGGUGACAAUUCAUAAUAGAGUGGAACAAAGUUGAGGGAGUAAAGUGAAUUUUAUCUGCACUGAGAUACAAACAGGUUCCCUAUCAUCAAAGAUCACAGGAGUGGUUUUUGGGUCACUUCACAGUUAUAUGUACAGGGCUGGCUUCAUUUUGACCCCCUGUAAAGACUUCCCUGAGUGUUUUAACUUAACACCUUGCCACGUCUUUUACUGACAUAACUUCCAGUAGGGUUUCAUAUCUCUCCCACACUUAGGCUGGGCUGUGGACCACAAUAUCUGAAAUAUCCAAAACAAACAAACAAAAACAAAAACACCAAAACCCAAAACAAAACCCACAGGCAGUAAGCUGACUGGCUUCAGCUCCUACAGGUCAGCUGCAUGCACAUGUAAACAGCAAUCAGAUUUACUCAAGAAAGCCAAAUCACUGUAGGAACAGCAGUUUAACAGAAAAUAGAUUGUAUUGCCUUGCAUCUCAAAGCAACAUGUAUGUAAAGAGCUAUUUCACUUAGUUCUACAUUCAAAUGGUGGGCAUCUGUAAUAUUACAGUUAGUUCCAGUGAUUCCCACCAUUUAGUGAAGGCUUUUGCAUAUCUUUUUUACUUCCAAGCUGUUUAUAGACGUUAUCUCUAAAAGUCUGUAGGUGUUUGUGCAGAGAUGAUCAUUUUGAAUCACACUUGUUUUCUCUGAAGGCCUCCUUCAUUCUGGAUGUGUUUGCUUUGAUGUAUGUGUUCAUAUAUCAUUACAGAGCAGCUUGGCUUCCCUCAGCUGUGUGUGGUGCUUUUGUUGCUUAAACUCUUUACUGGCAAAAUACCGAAAUGAACAGGGUGUUAUUUAUGACAAAUGCUUUUGAGAAAAUGCAGUUCUUUUCUUAGCAGCUUUUAGUGUUCCGUUUCCUUAGGUAUUAGGCCAAAUAAAAUACAUAUGACUUUGGACUACUGUCUGCUCCAAAAAAGCUAUGUCCUCCUUCCAUCAACACAUACUAAUUUUCUUUCUCAUUACAUUUAGUGUACUGUAGUUUAAAAAUAAUAAAAAAACAAACAAACAAGGGUGCAUGUUAUAUAACUACCUGGUCUGUAGCUAUCCAGCCAUUGUGUUAGGUACAACCCUAAGGUGUAAGUUUUAUGCAGGGCUGCAUGGUACAGCAAGAGGGUGGAAAAACUGGUAUAUCAUGGAAACAGGACAUCUAUAGCUAUGCUAUAUUUCUCAACACAGAGCUCUUUGUUUUUGCCUGUCAAAUGCACUCCUGGAACUGAGACAGGUGUUGGAGUGUUGCAAUUCAGGUGGCUCUUACCUGGUUAUGGAGUCAUACCUUCAACCUUUGCUCCACCAUACAAUUAAGGAGGGUGAGAGUGAACUGUAGGAGGCAACUUGAUAAAGGCUGUGUCCAUGUAAGAGUCACAACUGGUCCAACAGCCAUUUAACUGCAGUGACCUCAUUACCCCAGGGGAGCUCACAAACUCUUCUGUCUGCCUUUUUUUUCACUUGAAAAAAACACAAAAAACAACCUGUCUAAAUUGUACUGCUGUCACUAUUUUGUGCAUACAUUUUAUCUCCUCAGAUGAUAAAAAAUGACAGCAUAUUUGUGAGUUUGUUUUUUUUUCCUAAUGUCUUAAUUUAUUGUGGGUAAGUGAAAAGCAUUUUGUGAAGCUAAGUGCUAUAGUCUGAUAAAACCUUCCGUCAAAUAUCUGUAUGAAAAGAAUUUCAAACUGGCCCUGUAGAUAUCACUUAGAUGAAUCAGGCUAUGUGAGUGAUGGAGCUCAGAGCUGAAGUAAUUGUAGCACAGAGAGUAUAAGAUUUUUGUGGCAGUUACUAUUCUUAAGAUAGGAGCUCUUAGAAGCACAUAAAAGGAUUCCUGUUAUUUCAUAUGCAAGAAAAAAAUAAUAGCUAUGUACUUCAUUUCAGCAGGUGCAAAACCAAAAAAGGCAAAGAAUUCUGAGCCUAAAAGUAACUUGGAUGUGUUGAAAAAAAUUGAGGAGCUGGAAAAGAAGGAUGAUGAAGAAGAAAAAUCUGAUGAUGAGAAAGACAG